rfam:Rhodococcus jostii RHA1, complete genome.
AGCGCUACCGGGUCGACCCCUCGCGUCACGACCAGAUAGUCCCGCAUCACGAUCGAAUGCUUGUUCUC